rnacentral:rRNA from 1 species
AACGUACGCUGGCGGCAGGCUUAACACAUGCAAGUCGAACGCCCCGCAAGGGGAGUGGCAGACGGGUGAGUAACGCGUGGGAAUCUACCCAGUUCUACGGAACAACAGAGGGAAACUUCUGCUAAUACCGUAUACGCCCUAAGGGGGAAAGAUUUAUCGGAAUUGGAUGAGCCCGCGUAAGAUUAGCUAGUUGGUGAGGUAAUGGCUCACCAAGGCGACGAUCUUUAGCUGGUCUGAGAGGAUGAUCAGCCACACUGGGACUGAGACACGGCCCAGACUCCUACGGGAGGCAGCAGUGGGGAAUAUUGGACAAUGGGCGCAAGCCUGAUCCAGCCAUGCCGCGUGAGUGAUGAAGGCCUUAGGGUUGUAAAGCUCUUUCAGUAGGGAAGAUAAUGACGGUACCUACAGAAGAAGCCCCGGCUAACUUCGUGCCAGCCGCCGCGGUAACAC